GUGAGGAAUAUUGGUCAAUGGGCGGAAGCCUGAACCAGCCAUCCCGCGUGGAGGAAGACGGCCCUAUGGGUUGUAAACUUCUUUUCAAGGGGAAGAAAGUUCGCGACGUGUCGCGAUUUGCCGGUACCUUUGGAAUAAGCAUCGGCUAACUCCGUGCCAGCAGCCGCGGUAAUACGGAGGAUGCGAGCGUUAUCCGGAUUUAUUGGGUUUAAAGGGUGCGUAGGCCGAUCGAUAAGUCAGCGGUGAAAUACCAUGGCCCAACCAUGGAACUGCCGUUGAUACUGUCGGUCUUGAAUAUGGUCAAGGUAGGCGGAAUGUGUAAUGUAGCGGUGAAAUGCUUAGAUAUUACACAGAACACCGAUUGCGAAGGCAGCUUACUGGUCCAUUAUUGACGCUGAGGCACGAAAGCGUGGGGAUCGAACAGGAUUAGAAACCCCAGUAGUCC
rnacentral:rRNA from 1 species